AUUGAACGCUGGCGGCAGGCUUAACACAUGCAAGUCGAGCGGGGACUUCGGUCCUAGCGGCGAACGGGUGAGGAAUGCUUGGGAAUCUGCCCAGUAGCGGGGGAUAACGUUUCGAAAGGAACGCUAAUACCGCAUACGCCCUACGGGGGAAAGGGGGGGGAUCUUCGGACCUCUCACUAUUGGAUGAGCCCAAGUCGGAUUAGCUAGUUGGUGAGGUAAAGGCUCACCAAGGCGACGAUCCGUAGCUGGUCUGAGAGGAUGAUCAGCCACACUGGAACUGAGACACGGUCCAGACUCCUACGGGAGGCAGCAGUGGGGAAUAUUGGACAAUGGGCGAAAGCCUGAUCCAGCCAUGCCGCGUGUGUGAAGAAGGCCUUCGGGUUGUAAAGCACUUUAAGCGAGGAGGAAUGGCUCCGGGUUAAUACCCUUGAGCAUAGACGUUACUCGCAGAAUAAGCACCGGCUAACUCUGUGCCAGCAGCCGCAGUAA
rnacentral:rRNA from 1 species